AUGAUGCCCAUUUUCAACUCUACC
rnacentral:siRNA from 1 species